rnacentral:rRNA from 1 species
UGGGGAAUUUUGGACAAUGGACGCAAGUCUGAUCCAGCCAUUCCGCGUGCAGGACGAAGGCCUUCGGGUUGUAAACUGCUUUUGUACAGAACGAAAAGGUCUCUAUUAAUACUAGAGGCUCAUGACGGUACUGUAAGAAUAAGCACCGGCUAACUACGUGCCAGCAGCCGCGGUAAUACGUAGGGUGCAAGCGUUAAUCGGAAUUACUGGGCGUAAAGCGUGCGCAGGCGGUUAUAUAAGACAGAUGUGAAAUCCCCGGGCUCAACCUGGGAACUGCAUUUGUGACUGUAUAGCUGGAGUGCGGCAGAGGGGGAUGGAAUUCCGCGUGUAGCAGUGAAAUGCGUAGAUAUGCGGAGGAACACCGAUGGCGAAGGCAAUCCCCUGGGCCUGCACUGACGCUCAUGCACGAAAGCGUGGGGAGCAAACAGGAUUAGAUACCCUGGUAGUCCACGCCCUAAACGAUGUCAACUGGUUGUUGGGUCUUCACUGACUCAGUAACGAAGCUAACGCGUGAAGUUGACCGCCUGGGGAGUACGGCCGCAAGGUUG